UAGGAGAGUGUGUCAUGCGCUCGUGCUACGCUCGUCGUCGUCGGGCUGCUUGAGGUCUCGAGCGUCGGCUGCGUCCGGCGGCAGACGCACUGCCCGGAGGCGGGCGUGGAGGGUGGCAUCGUGCGGCGUUACCUCCGGUUCGCGGGUACCUUAGCGGACUCGAGAGGAGGGUCGGCGGCAAGAGGAAGUUUAAGCAGCCCUAGGCCAACCUAGAUCUGCGACCGCGGGGCAAGGGCUAGAAGGGCGGAACGAACCCAGCAGCCGGUGGCGCUGCUACAGUUAUAGCGAGCGCCCUAGGUCGCGGUGGCGACGACCGGUGAAGGAGCGGCCUCUACGGGGGUGUAGGCGCCGAGGGGUGUGCUCGUCGUCGUCGCUUGUGCAGCGAUUCCGGCAGAGGCCGCCACAGAAAAAGAAAAAUAUCUUCAAACGGUUUAGACACGGUCUUGUCGGUACCGCUACUUGAGGUCGAGUUCCGGGCGCUCGCGAACCACCGCAAACUACGCCACGGACCUCUUAUAGAGACCCGUCUCAUCAUCCGGUCUAGAUCAAAUCCUUUUUUUUAGACAUUAAGGUUCAAAAAGAACACAUAAAGAAGAAAAACCAUUUUGUUUAAAAUCAAUCGACCAUAAAAAUACGUUAAAGGAAAAGAUAAAUAUUCCGUUACUCGUAUGUAUUAGUCUUUUUGUGAAUAUAACUGAGUUUCAAAGGU
rnacentral:rRNA from 1 species